GGGCGUCUCUCACGUCCAUCUUGUUGGCAAAGAACAGCAGGGGGAUCCUCCGGUGCUUUACAUCUACAGAGACAAGGUUAGAAUCAGGGGGUGCUUUACAUCUACAGAGACAAGGUUAGAAUCAGGCGGUGCUUUACAUCUACAGAGACAAGGUUAGAAUCAGGCGGUGCUUUACAUCUACAGAGACAAGGUUAGAAUCAGGCGGUGCUUUACAUCUACAGAGACAAGGUUAGAAUCAGGGGGUGCUUUACAUCUACAGAGACAAGGUUAGAAUCAGGCGGUGCUUUACAUCUACAGAGACAAGGUUAGAAUCAGGGGGUGCUUUACAUCUACAGAGACAAGGUUAGAAUCAGGGGGUGCUUUACAUCUACAGAGACAAGGUUAGAAUCAGGGGGUGCUUUACAUCUACAGAGACAAGGUUAGAAUCAGGCGGUGCUUUACAUCUACAGAGACAAGGUUAGAAUCAGGUGG